UCCUGGCUGGGAUAGCCUUUGUCAGCUCCCUCCUUACUGAUGUGUUAUAGCUGGACUGCGGAGCUUGCAUGUGAUGGAGGCAAAAUUUGUCUUACUACUACUCCCCUUCUCUCAAAGUUCCUUACACAACUUGACCAACGCACUGAGCAGUUCAUGAAAGUGUUGAAGAACAAAGGAGGCUCUGCAGGGAGGAAAAUCAGGAUCAUUAUGGCCCCAAUGACACAGGGAGCUUGAGAAGUCACCUUUGGUAUCUACAGCAUCAAUGUUAAGGGAGGUGAU